rnacentral:misc_RNA from 2 species
AACGCACCUUGCACCCUCUGGUAUUCCGGAGGGUAUGCCUGUCCGAGUGUCUUGAAAAACCUCACGCCUCCCGGGUCCUGCCCGUGGGCGGAGAGUGGACUUGGGUGUUUGCCUUUCUUGGCUCGCCUUAAAUGCCUUAGCGGUUCCCGUCGGUGGACGACCUUGCGUGCUCACGUUUCGCUCGGCUCUGAGACCAACCGGGUCCGCUCACAAAGCUUUUCCCUUGCGGAAAAAAAAAAACUCUUGACACCUUGACCUCGGAUCAGGUAGGACUACCCGCUGAACUUAA